rnacentral:rRNA from 1 species
CACGUGGGAACGUGCCCUUCGGUUCUCGAACAACCCUGGGAAACUCUGGCUAUUACCGGAUACUCCGCUAUGGGGAAAGGUUGACUGCCGAAGGAUCGGCCCGCGUCUGAUUAGCUGGUUGGUGGGGUAACGGCUCCCCAAGGCGACGAUCAGUAGCUGGUCUGAAAGGAUGAUCAACCACACUGGGACUGAAACACGGCCCAGACUCCUACGGGAGGCAGCAGUGGGGAAUAUUGGACAAUGGGCGCCAGCCUGAUCCAAGCCAUGCCGCGUGAGUGAUGAAGGCCUUAGGGUUGUAAAGCUCUUUUCUUCGGGACGAUAAUGACGGUACCGGAAGAAUAAGCCCCGGCUAACUUCCUGCCAGACGCCGCGGUAAUACCAAGGGGGCUAGCGUUGCUCGGAAUCACUGGGCGUAAAGGGCGCGUAGGCGGCUCUUCAAGUCCGGGGUGAAAACC